GACAGAGGGUGCAAACGUUGCUCGGAAUUACUGGGCGUAAAGCGCGUGUAGGCGGUGCUCUAAGUCUGUUGUGAAAUCUCCCGGCUUAACUGGGAGGGUGCGGCGGAGACUGGAGUGCUAGAGUGUGGGAGAGGUAAGCGGAAUUCCUGGUGUAGCGGUGAAAUGCGUAGAUAUCAGGAGGAACACCUGUGGUGUAGACAGCUUACUGGACCACGACUGACGCUGAGACACGAAAGCGUGGGUAGCAAACAGG
rnacentral:rRNA from 1 species